CCUAUCUUGUCCGCCAUCUCAGCUGCCGGCCAAAAAACCCUUGUUAACUGAUAACGGGGGAAGAUGGUGGGGAAAGCCAGGAAGUCAGCCCAGGCACAGCUGUGUGGGCCGUAGAGCAGGGAACUGGGUUGGUCACCAAAUGGCCAGCCAUUCUCUGAUCCUACUGACCAAAGUGAACCAGGGUCCCCCAGCCCAUUCAAGAAGCAUUGGCAAGUGGCCUUCGGAUAGCUACCAGUCUUUGGCAUAACCUGUUGCUAGGAGGUGAUUGUGAGUCCUGGAGAAGAGGCCUUACCCAGAGCCAGAGGGCCUGAGAGAAGAGUAUGAAUUCUGAGCCAAUAUGUCACUCACAGUCGUAAUUCUGACAUACUGCGGGUCUAAGAUGGGAAAAGGCGCAAAAACAGAAGGAAGCCUGGAAAUGUCCACCGAGUGUCACAGCCUCCUUUGGACAGCGUCAAACCUCGGCUUGCUGACGUUUCAGCUAGAGGACGCUCAGUGCUGAGAGAACCAGACUAGGUCACACAAGGAAGACAUUCAUGUUGGCAGAAAGAUGCCCCUCCUGUUUGUCUUUGGGAUCAUUGUGGCUGGAGGCUGAAAUGGACCUUGAGUGGCAGACCCAAGUCAUGGUGGAUGGAGUGAUGGCCACUGACAUGGAGAGGAUUUAAUCUCCCUGGGGAUGAAAAGGAUCAGAAGAUAUGCUUCUGGCUCCUGGACUGCUUGCUGGUGAGAGCUGGAGGGCGUGAGACAUGAUGAGCCACAAUCAUCACACACAGAUACCAGCGUCUUAACUCAGAGGAGACGACCAGUUACUCCCAGGGGAGUCGCUUCUGAAUCAGCUUUCUGGGUGAAAUCAGACCAUCAACUGCUUAGAGGAAAGGUCAAAACCAACACCAAGUUAAGUGACAGAUGAAGAUGAGAAAGCACCACUUAUGAUUACAGCCUCUCCAGCCUGACCUAUUCAAAUGAUCCUUUGACUGAAAAAAUGGGAAAAGGAAAAUGCAAAGAUAUUAACUCGGAAGACCCCAUUCCCUUUAUGUUUAAUCUGUCUAAUGCAGUCAUCCAAGUACAAGUCCAGCAAUAGCCUUAGCCCAGAAACGCUUGUUUCUCCUUGCCAAGCAGCAGCCAAGACCACUACCCGUUUAGAGUAUGAAUGUUUGGAAAGUGUUCCAGAGGAAGAUGACAGAUUAUGAGUCGCGUCACUUCACAAAACAGGAAGAGGCGGUGGAGAAAACAAGUCCGCAGCAGAAAGUGUGUCACAAGAGCCAAGCCAAAUCAUCCCGAAACAUUGGUGGGCGCAACCAUCAGGAAGUCAACAGAGAGGCAAAAACGAAAACAAAACCAAAGAAAAAUAGAUGUUUUUCAAAGAGUCUCCAUAAUAAUCUGCUUUCAUCAUCUAUAGUAGGACCAUCAUUUUUAGGUUCUAACAUCUACAUGUCUGAUGUGUUUUAUGAGACAAUAGGAUUAGAGCUUAAGAAUCUAGAGCCUUUCUCUGUGUGUAUCUUGUAUAUACUUCAUUCUUUACAUCGCUUCCAGGUUCAUGUAAAUUCUCUUACCUGAUUCACAAUCUACCUCCCCAUCUGCCUUGCAGUCCUGCUUCCCACUCUUCACCCUCACCAUAGCCUCUACUCUCUCUACCACCCCUGCACCCCUACAUCAGCUGCGCUCUCCUCCCUCCUCCAUCUUGACCCCUCCAUAAUCCAUUUGAAGUCUACACUGUACUCCUCUCUGGCGUCCACUGCCACUUCAUCCCAUCGCUGCAACAACCCAGCUUUGCAUCUCCGCCGUCAUUCAUAACGUUUGCUCUUACUCAUGUCCCGCUGAACACGAAUGGAGACAAUCACCAGACCUUGCUGACUGCGUCAUUACCGAUUUAGGUGACGCUGUCACCUCACCUGGGUCCUCCCUGUUCUUUCUCCUGGUUCUCCUCAUACCUUUUGUCUACUCCUCAGUCUCUCUUACUGGAUCACCAUCCAUAUUAUGCCCUCGAACCAUGGGUGUUCUCCAAGGCACUGUCUUCUGUACUGUUUCACUGGUAUUCUCAUUAUUGCUCGCUGAUUCAGUGAUUAUCCCAAUGCUGAAAAUUCUCAGAUCUAUUUAUCAAGCCCUGACCUCUGUCCUGACUUCCAGGCUUGUAUCGCCAAUUUCCUGUUUUAAAAUCGACAUAUUCAAAAACUGAAUUCAUUAUCUUUUACCCCCAAAUCUCUCCUCU